UACGGAGGGUGCAAGCGUUAUCCGGAUUCACUGGGUUUAAAGGGUGCGUAGGCGGCUUAUUAAGUCAUUGGUGAAAGCUCGCAGCUUAACUGUGAAACUGCCAUUGAAACUGCUAAGCUUGAAUCUGGUUGAAGUGGGCGGAAUACAACAUGUAGCGGUGAAAUGCUUAGAUAUGUUGUAGAACACCGAUUGCGAAGGCAGCUCACUAAACCAACAUUGACGCUGAGGCACGAAAGCGUGGGUAGCGAACAGG
rnacentral:rRNA from 1 species